UAAAACUUGCAUCACACUACAAUGCAUCUCCUGAAUGCAACUCAGACACUUUAAUUAAGCUAAAGCNU
rnacentral:tRNA from 1 species